rnacentral:tRNA from 1 species
UCCCGGGUCGUCCAACGGCAGGACUGCGGCUUUUGGUGCCGCCUAUAGGGGUUCGAGUCCUCUCCCGGGAG